CCUAGUCAUAUCACGUUGAAUGCGCUGUUUCUCGUCCGAUAUUCGAAGUUAAGCAGCGUCGAGCCUAGUGAGUACUUAGAUGGGUGACCGCUUGGGAAAUACCUGUUGCGUACUGGGG
rnacentral:rRNA from 1 species